rnacentral:rRNA from 1 species
GACGAACGCUGGCGGCGUGCUUAACACAUGCAAGUCGAACGGUUAACUCCGCUUGCGGGGGGAUCAGUGGCGAACGGGUGCGUAACACGUGGGCAACCUGCCCUCAUCUCUGGGAUAACUCCAAGAAAUUGGGGCUAAUACCGGAUAUGACCGCUGACCGCAUGGUCUGGUGGUGGAAAGAUUUAUCGGCUGGGGAUGGGCCCGCGGCCUAUCAGCUUGUUGGUGGGGUAGUGGCCUACCAAGGCGACGACGGGUAGCCGGCCUGAGAGGGUGACCGGCCACACUGGGACUGAGACACGGCCCAGACUCCUACGGGAGGCAGCAGUGGGGAAUAUUGCGCAAUGGGCGAAAGCCUGACGCAGCGACGCCGCGUGGGGGAUGACGGCCUUCGGGUUGUAAACCUCUUUCAGCAGGGACGAAGCGAAAGUGACGGUACCUGCAGAAGAAGCACCGGCCAACUACGUG